AUUACCCUCACUCACACUAUUCUCAUCUUCUCCCUUCAGUUAUUGAGUUACCCGCUGGAAGCACAGCACCGUCUUCUGAGUUACCUACACCAUUGUCGUCUCUUCGUUGCUGCGCCAUCUUCAUCAUCUUCUUAUUGCAGCACCAUCUCCUGAGGCCUCGUCGCCAUCGUCUUCUGAGGUCUCGGCAUCGUCGCCUUCUUCUUUAAGAUCCUGACGUCGUUGGUGUCGUUUGAGUUCACAUAUCAUUUUAUCACCGUCCAGAUCUGACUUUCUCAUUGUUGUGCCAUUCUUUUCUCACGGUCGCCUCCUCUGGUCGCGAUGCCUCCUUUACUCACUCUUUUGUUGCAGAUCGUCGCCUUGCCAUCUAGAUCCACCGUUGCUUCUUGUCGCGUAUUAUUUAAUUAUUUGGUAUAAAUCGAGAGAAUUUCUCGAUUGCCAUAACAAAAAUAUUAUUUAAUUAUUUGUUAAUUUGAUUAUCUAACUUUUGAUUAGGUGAAGAAGCUUGAUGAAAUUUGUAAGUCGAAGAAUUCAAAAGAUUCGAUAGUUAGGGUUUAUACACAUGUUAACAAAUAACAAGAUUUUUCACUGAGCCAUCUCUUCCCGUUCUCAAUCUCGAACCUCCAACGGAAGAGAAGAAGAUUGCUUGCAUUCAGUUGAAGCACGCACGUGAAGUUCCAAAUCACUCUCAAAGCAGUUACACACUCGGUGGCAUCCUCUUCGAACGCGUUUGGUUGCAGGAUGUUUUGGUCUCCAACACUCCUCUGGUUCUUGAUGACAGCACCGGAGUCAUUGAGCUAUCCCUCGGUCGCGAUUUCCUACAUUGCCAUUGGCAACUUGAGAUGUAUGUGAUGGUAGUUGGAGAUUAUGUUGUCGGUACCAGAAACAUUUCUAUGGUAAAGGUUUUGGAGAACGAGUUCAAGAAAGAGUAUCCCACUACCAAACCACAUGAGAAUGCCCCCACUUAUUUCCACAACUUUCUUUCCCCUUCAGGUUUUAUUUAAUUUUUAUCUUUAUUUGCAUGUUUUGUGUGAACAAGUGUGUAAUUUGUAAGUUCUCCCACCAGAUCAUGAUGAUGAUUGCUAUUUAACAAGGUUUUAAAUUGAAGGUUUAGAGGUUCGUCCAUUGAUUGACUAGAACAAAGAGAAAGCGGUUGAAUUUUUACUUGAAUCUCUUGAUUUAAAUGAUAAUGAUGAUGUGCUUCCUAUCUACAUUGGAGAUGAUAAAACCGAUGAAGAUAUUUUUAAGGUAUUACAUUUUCUUUUCUUAAAUUAUAGGGAGUAAAGUAGUGUAAAAUUGAUCCAUCAUUUAUGACAAAUAUUUAAUUUUUCAUUUUUUUGUUUAAAAUUUAAUUUUUUUUAAUA